rnacentral:lncRNA from 1 species
UGUGGUACUCUAUCGAAUCUUCUUAAUAGUGCCUCUACUGGCUUCGAAUUCGAUUCACCAACCUAAUCCAAUUCUGUAUGUGUCGGUCCUUCCACCUCAUGAACUUCAUCAAGUUCAAUUUUACAGGCAUUAGCUCCUUCACCAAGGAACUCCUUUUUAAAAAAGAUUGUCCGGCUGCUGAUAAAUACCUUUUGUUCUGCAGCGAGGUAGAAGUAGUACCCUUUAGUUUUUUUUGGAUACCCUAUGAACAAGCAUCUAUCGGACUUUGAUCCAAGCUUAUCUAUCUUUAAAUGC